AAGAGAUAAAAGAACAAAGAUACAAAAUGGGAAUAGGAUGUCAAAAGUGUCAAGAUCUUGAUUUGUGUGACGCAUUUUUGUCUUCUUCUCUUCUUGACUAUUUUUGGCUUCGUGACUCUCUCACUCCGACUGAGGAAGGAACUUUCCUACUAUUUAAAGAAGA
rnacentral:ribozyme from 13 species